rnacentral:rRNA from 1 species
UACGUAGGUGGCAAGCGUUAUCCGGAAUCAUUGGGCGUAAAGGGUGCGUAGGCGGCUUCUUAAGUUUGUAGUGAAAUCGUAGGGCUCAACUCUAUCUAGCUACAAAAACUGGGAGGCUGGAGUGCGGUAGAGGCUAGUGGAAUUCCUAGUGUAGCGGUAAAAUGGGUAGAUAUUAGGAGGAACACCGGUGGCGAAGGCGACUAGCUGGGCCGUAACUGACGCUGAGGCACGAAAGCGUGGGGAGCAAAUAGGAUUAGAUACCCUAGUAGUCCACGCCGUAAACGAUGAAUACUAAGUGUUGGAGAAAUUCAGUGCUGCAGUUAACGCAAUAAGUAUUCCGCCUGGGGAGUAUGCACGCAAGUGUGAAACUCAAAUGAAUUGACGGGG